CCUACGGGCGGCAGCAGUGGGGAAUAUUGGACAAUGGGGGCAACCCUGAUCCAGCCAUGCCGCGUGUGUGAAGAAGGCCCUCGGGUUGUAAAGCACUUUCAGUGAGGAAGAACGCCUGGUGGUUAAUACCCAUCAGGAAAGACAUCACUCACAGAAGAAGCACCGGCUAACUCCGUGCCAGCAGCCGCGGUAAUACGGAGGGUGCGAGCGUUAAUCGGAAUUACUGGGCGUAAAGCGCGCGUAGUUGGCUUGAUAAGCCGGUUGUGAAAGCCCCGGGCUCAACCUGGGAACGGCAUCCGGAACUGUCAAGCUAGAGUGCAGGAGAGGAAGGUAGAAUUCCCGGUGUAGCGGUGAAAUGCGUAGAGAUCGGGAGGAAUACCAGUGGCGAAGGCGGCCUUCUGGACUGACACUGACACUGAGGUGCGAAAGCGUGGGUAGCAAACAGGAUUAGAUACCCUUGUAGUC
rnacentral:rRNA from 1 species